CUUGUAUGAGUGACGUGCUCAUACCUGUGUCCUUCUUGGCAUCUUCAUAUAUUUUUUCCUUUCAGUUUCUGUGAACAUCUCACACAAUCUGGAGCACCAUCCAAGCAAUAAUCUCAGACUGUCAUUGUGAGCACGCUGGCUUCAUUCCAAUCUGUAAGAGUUAGGAUCUCUCCAGUGGCAAUUUCUGCUUCUGUUCAGGUUGCCUCACAGUAAAGCCAGGUCUUAACUGGAGUUUUGUAAAGAUUUUCAUGAAUAAUUAAAAAUGGAAGUCUAAACAUUUCAUGUGCAGGGAUUUGUGUAUAAUUAUUAUAAUAAAGACAAUGACCCAAGGUCUUAGAGUCGAAUGAAGAACACAGAGAAUUUCAACAGCUUAUUCGUGGUCUUGGCUGCGCUUGGGAAAUUUAAUCCCCCCUUUUAAAAAAGGUGAUAUAUGGGAUAGAUGUUCUUGAAGAUGGUGGAUAAAGAUAAUUUUUUUAAAAAAGAA
rnacentral:lncRNA from 1 species